rnacentral:rRNA from 1 species
UACGGAGGGGACUAGCGUUGUUCGGAAUUACUGGGCGUAAAGCGCACGUAGGCGGAUUUGUAAGUCAGGGGUGAAAUCCCCGGGGGCUCAACCUCGGAACUGCCUUUGAUACUGCAAAUCUCGAGUCCGGAAGAGGUGAGUGGAAUUCCUAGUGUAGAGGUGAAAUUCGUAGAUAUUAGGAAGAACACCAAUGGCGAAGGCAGCUCUCUGGGACGGUACUGACGCUGAGACGCGAAAGCGUGGGGAGCGAACAGG